GAUGAACGCUGGCGGCGUGCUUAACACAUGCAAGUCGAACGGUGAAGCAGGAGCUUGCUCUUGUGGAUCAGUGGCGAACGGGUGAGUAACACGUGAGCAACCUGCCCCUGACUCUGGGAUAAGCGCUGGAAACGGCGUCUAAUACUGGAUAUGUGAUGUGACCGCAUGGUCGGCAUCUGGAAAGAAUUUCGGUUGGGGAUGGGCUCGCGGCCUAUCAGCUUGUUGGUGAGGUAAUGGCUCACCAAGGCGUCGACGGGUAGCCGGCCUGAGAGGGUGACCGGCCACACUGGGACUGAGACACGGCCCAGACUCCUACGGGAGGCAGCAGUGGGGAAUAUUGCACAAUGGGCGGAAGCCUGAUGCAGCAACGCCGCGUGAGGGAUGACGGCCUUCGGGUUGUAAACCUCUUUUAGUAGGGAAGAAGCGAAAGUGACGGUACCUGCAGAAAAAGCACCGGCUAACUACGUGCCAGCCGCCGCGGUAA
rnacentral:rRNA from 1 species